CCUACGGGGCGCAGCAGUGGGGGAUAUUGCACAAUGGGGGAAACCCUGAUGCAGCGACGCCGCGUGGGUGAAGAAGUAUUUCGGUAUGUAAAGCCCUAUCAGCAGGGAAGAAAGAAGACGGUACCUGACUAAGAAGCCCCGGCUAACUACGUGCCAGCAGCCGCGGUAAUACGUAGGGGGCGAGCGUUAUCCGGAUUUACUGGGUGUAAAGGGGGCGCAGACGGCAAUGCAAGCCAGGAGUGAAAGCCCGGGGCCCAACCCCGGGACUGCUCUUGGAACUGCAUGGCUGGAGGACAGGAGGGGCG
rnacentral:rRNA from 1 species